GACGAACGCUGGCGGCGUGCUUAACACAUGCAAGUCGAACGGAAAGGCCCUGCUUUUGUGGGGUGCUCGAGUGGCGAACGGGUGAGUAACACGUGAGUAACCUGCCCUUGACUUUGGGAUAACUUCAGGAAACUGGGGCUAAUACCGGAUAGGAGCUCCUGCUGCAUGGUGGGGGUUGGAAAGUUUCGGCGGUUGGGGAUGGACUCGCGGCUUAUCAGCUUGUUUGUGGGGUAGUGGCUUACCAAGGCUUUGACGGGUAGCCGGCCUGAGAGGGUGACCGGCCACCUUGGGACUGAGAUACGGACCAGACUCCUAUGGGAGGCAGCAGUGGGGAAUAUUGCACAAUGGGCGGACGCCUGAUGUAGAAGCGCCGCGUGCGGGAUGACGGCCUUCGGGUUGUAAACCGCUUUCGCCUGUGACGAAGCGUGAGUGACGGUAAUGGGUAAAGAAGCACCGGCUAACUACGUG
rnacentral:rRNA from 1 species